UGCAGUCGGACGGGAUUGAGGAGCUUGCUUCUCACGAGAGUGGCGCACGGAUGCGUAACACGUAUGUAACCUACCUUGUUCAGGGGGAUAGCCUCUCGAAAGAGAGAUUAACACCGCAUAAAAUCAAUUUAUGGCAUCAUAGAAUGAUCAAAUAUUUAUAGGAACAAGAUGGGCAUGCGGAACAUUAGCUAGUUGGUAAGGUAACGGCUUACCAAGGCUACGAUGUUUAGGGGAUCUGAGAGGAUGACCCCCCACACUGGUACUGAGACACGGACCAGACUCCUACGGGAGGCAGCAGUAAGGAAUAUUGGUCAAUGGACGCAAGUCUGAACCAGCCAUGCCGCGUGCAGGAAGACGGCCCUACGGGUUGUAAACUGCUUUUGUACCGGAAUAAACCUUUUCACGUGUGAGAAGCUGAAUGUACGGUAAGAAUAAGGAUCGGCUAACUCCGUGCCAGCAGCCGCGGUAAUACGGAGGAUCCAAGCGUUAUCCGGAUUUAUUGGGUUUAAAGGGUGCGUAGGUGGCCUAUUAAGUCAGGGGUGAAAGACGGUAGCUUAACUAUCGCAGUGCCUUUGAUGCUGAUGGGCUUGAAUACACUUGAGGUAGGCGGAAUGUGACAAGUAGCGGUGAAAUGCAUAGAUAUGUCACAGAACACCAAUUGCGAAGGCAGCUUACUAAAGUGUUAUUGACACUGAGGCACGAAAGCGUGGGGAUCAAACAGGAUUAGAUACCCUGGUAGUCCACGCCCUAAACGAUGAAUACUCGAUGUUGGCGAUAUACGGUCAGCGUCUAAGCGAAAGCGUUAAGUAUUCCACCUGGGGAGUACGCCCGCAAGGGUGAAACUCAAA
rnacentral:rRNA from 1 species